rnacentral:lncRNA from 1 species
AGAAAGCGGACGAGCCGAAGGGCCGAGGAGCCGAAGGGCCGAGAAACCGAAGGGCCGAAGAGCCGAAGGGGGCACCCCGCACCCGGUCAUUGGUCGGGAAAACUCCUUCUGAUUGGCAGAAGAGUCACGAAUCCUUCAGGCCCGGGCCAGGGGCCGGCCGGGCCGAGGCGAUGGAUACACAAUUUGACAUCACAUACCUGGAAUGCUGCUUUCUGUACACUCGGGAGAUCUUGGGGGGAAAACGGCCUGAGGAGGAAAAUGAUACUUGUUGAAUUGGUGAAAGUCCUUCCCACCAAGUGA